GAGGCUGAAACUCGCCUCUUUGAAGUCGGAAUCGCUAGUAAUCGCAGAUCAGCAUGUUGCGGUGAAUACGUUCCCGGGUCUUGUACACACCGCCCGUCAAACCAUGAGAGUCACCAACACCCGAAGUCCGCUUUGGCGGCCUAAGGUGGGGGAGAUGAUUGGGGUUAAGUCGUAACAAGGUAUC
rnacentral:rRNA from 1 species